GAUGAACGCUGGCGGCGUGCUUAACACAUGCAAGUCGAACGGACUUUACAUGAAGCCUAGCGAUUGUAAAGUUAGUGGCGGACGGGUGAGUAACGCGUGAAUAACCUGCCUUAUACUGGGGGACAACAGUUGGAAACGACUGCUAAUACCGCAUAAGCGCACAGGACCGCAUGGUCUGGUGUGAAAAAACUCCGGUGGUAUACGAUGGACCCGCGUCUGAUUAGCUAGUUGGUGAGGUAAUGGCCCACCAAGGCGACGAUCAGUAGCCGGACUGAGAGGUUGACCGGCCACAUUGGGACUGAGACACGGCCCAGACUCCUACGGGAGGCAGCAGUGGGGAAUAUUGGGCAAUGGGCGCAAGCCUGACCCAGCAACGCCGCGUGAAGGAAGAAGGCUUUCGGGUUGUAAACUUCUUUUAUAAGGGACGAAACAAAUGACGGUACCUUAUGAAUAAGCCACGGCUAACUACGUG
rnacentral:rRNA from 1 species